ACUUACAGAAGAGUGGAGCAGAUGGAGUCUGUCUUUGCAAAGCUUUCUCUGACUCUGGAAUCCAUAAUGGUCACCCGGAUGCAAAUUGACCUGUCGUUCUAGGGUAGGGUUAUGCAAGUUCAGGAGAAGUUUGGUGGUUGCAGGCUCACAACUCUUUUACAUUCAAGGUUUAACCUGCUGAUUGGGAAGAAUUUUUAUGAAAAGCUGUGUGCUUCCUGAUAAGAAAAAAGGCUUUCCUGUUUCGAUCAAACCAGAACCAGAUGAGAACUCAGCACAGGCACUGCAGCCACGGAGGUUUCCAGAUAGAAAAAUUGACACCCCUGAGAUCCCAUAACAUUUUGGGGACUCAUCUGGGAUCUGCGGAAGGAGCUUGACUCUUUUCAUUGGCAAUAAAUGGCGCCCCAACAUGGGGACUCAGAGAAGACUCAGGAGCCCCAAGCAGUUGUCCGAAAUCAGAGCUAAGGUACCAGCCAGGGUUAAUUGAAGACUCACCAAGUUCAAGCUUCUCCUUUGGUGGAACUGCUGAGAUUGAAGAACACUUGAAAAUUAUCAAGAAUGUACUGCGGAGUAUUGAAAUUGCAAGUUAUCAUCAAAGGAAGCUGAAUCAUACCUUCCCUGUUUCAAAUAACA
ensembl:lncRNA novel transcript